rnacentral:rRNA from 1 species
CAAUAGCGUAUAUUAAAGUUGUUGCAGUUAAAACGCUCGUAGUUGAAUAUCUGUUAUCAUUGUUCGGUCCGCUUCGGUGUGUACCGUAACAAAUAUAACAUUCGUUUGCUUUGCUCCGCACUGCAAACCGUUUACUUUGAGGAAAUUAGAGUGUUCACGGCAGGCAAUCGCCCUGAAUACAUUAGCAUGGAAUAAUAAUAUAGGACUUCGGCCCUAUUUUGUUGGUUUCUAGAGCUGAAGUAAUGAUUAAUAGGGACACUUGGGGGCAUUCGUAUUAUCACGUCAGAGGUGAAAUUCUUGGAUUGUGUUACGACGAACUACUGCGAAAGCAUUUGCCAAGGAUGUUUUCAUUGA